ACGUGGCAUCGGUGAACAACUUCCCCACGGCUGCGGGCCUGGCCUCCUCAGCGGCGGGCUAUGCCUGCCUAGGGGUGACGCUUCCUGGCCCACCUGGGCUCCUGCGCCUUCCCUGAACCACCCUCGGUGACCAGGGUACCUUUUGUUGCCCUUGUCGCGGGCCGCAAGCUCUGCAGGCCGUGAACAGAGAGUGUCCGAGAGUGGAACUAGCGGAGGUGGGGGACAGACGGCUGGGCCGGUGAAUGCUGGCCUCAAAGGCUGAUGGCCCAGAAGCCCUGUCAUCUGGAAAUCCCCAUUUGCCGUGGGGUGUGGGACGUUCCUGGGGCGGUGAGCUGUCAGGGAGCACAGCGCAGGCAGCUCUGAGGACCCUCCCUGAAUCCGCAUGCCUGCAGCCUACACCCUGGCCCGUGUCUACGGCGUGGAGAGUGACCUCUCA
rnacentral:lncRNA from 1 species